UACGAAGGGUGCAAGCGUUAAUCGGAAUUACUGGGCGUAAAGCGUGCGCAGGCGGCUUUGCAAGACAGAUGUGAAAUCCCCGGGCUUAACCUGGGAACUGCAUUUGUGACUGCAUGGCUGGAGUGCGGCAGAGGGGGGUGGAAUUCCACGUGUAGCAGUGAAAUGCGUAGAGAUGUGGAGGAACACCGAUGGCGAAGGCAGCCCCCUGGGCCAAUACUGACGCUCAUGCACGAAAGCGUGGGGAGCAAACAGG
rnacentral:rRNA from 1 species